rnacentral:lncRNA from 1 species
CAAAGGUGCUCUUAACCUGGCUGUGAAGUUGCCCAAGGGUUGUAUAAAGCCAGACAUGGGUCCAAAGACAUAUAUUGCCUAUGGAUUUGCUCAGGAGCUUGGGCGUGGUGAUUCUGUGACUAAGCUUCAUUGUGAUAUGUCUGAUGCUGUAUGCUUCCAUUCCUUAUUAUUAUUUUUUGUUGUUAAUUUUUAAAGAUAGUAUCAUACUGGAAAGUGCAUACUGUAUAGUUUGUAGGAUGUAUAAUUUGUAUUUUGUGUUAGCUAUGACAGAUAUAUGUUCUUUAAUUAUGAAACAAUUGGGUUUUCAUGCCUAUGUGUUAUUUUUGUUCAGUGAUUGCCCUGGGUGUUUUAGUAAUUGAUAAUUCCUUAAAGUAGUUUUUCUCAUUGUGGUACUGUCACUUAAUUUCAAGGUCUUGAAAUGUAUGAUAUCUUUUGACUAGAAAAAGUGUCAAUCAGCAUAUACUUCCAUCAAUUGCAUGGCUUUUCGCGAUCUAAUAUUUUUGAGUGCUUUGAACUUAUUGCUUUGUGUGGGCCCGAGUGUGACUCUUAUAUGAGGAACAUACAUGAUAUUUUUCUUUUAUCUUCCUUUUAUAGGUAAAUGUGUUGACGCAUGUUGCUGAAGUUCAAUUGAAACCUAAUAACAUCACUGCUAUUGCUAAGCUGAUGCGAAGCCACCUCGAGCAAGACAAAAAGGAGCUACUUACAGAUAGUCAGGAUGGAGAAACUAAUGUUGACACGCCUGAUAAUUCAUCCUCUACCAUAAAUCCCCCAUACGAGCAAAAUAAUGUCGUAGUCUUGGAAAAUAAAGGUGAACUAUUUGAUGGGAAAGUGACAAUGAAAGACGAAAAUGGUAUAAUGGUUGCUGGGGAUGCUUUAGGAGGCGCUCUUUGGGAUAUUUUUAGGAGACAGGAUGUACCUAAGUUGCAGGAGUACUUAAAAAAGCAUUUCAGAGAGUUCAGGCAUGUCCACUGCAGUCCUUUAACGAAGGUAAAUUAGUAAUAUCAUUUUCCUUUAUAUAUUUGGAUGCUCCUUGUUAACUUAAGUCAUUAAUAAGGCUUCGUUCCUACUGAGUGGUUUUACUUGUCGGAGCCUGUCUAUAAGUUUCCUUGUAUUUGUAGUGUUUAGAGGUUAAUAAUUUGAUAUUCAUCCCAACUUUCAUGUGAUAAAAAAGGCAUUGUUAAAUAUAUGUUAAAGGAUUUGACAGAGGAUGAAGCUGGUAGUAAAUAUCAGACAGACUAGUUAAUUAUGAAGAUGGAAAAAUGAUUUCGGUUUGACCAAUUGUAUGUCUCAUCAUGAGCAAGGAGAUAUAUUGAUGUCAUUAGCCAUUUUGAAAAAAAAUCAAAUAUUGUUUGUGGCUAGUUUGUCAUGUAUGGCCCUUUCAUUAAGGUGACAAUAGAUGCUUCCAUUCAAUAAUCAAAGUGUAGGGAACUGCAUUAUUGAUGUAAUCACCAGUCCAAAACAAAUCAUUGCUUUAUUAAAUAAAUACAAUUUUUUUCUUUGGUAUCACAGUUGUGAAGUUUGUUUGGGAGUCCAAGUCAAUAACUACAGCUUGUUGAAAUUUUUCUGUUCAAUAGUUGCCCACUCAUUUUGCAUCUAUGUUUUUACUUUUUAUCUGAAUGGCAUAUCCUUUGGUGAUGUAGGUUGUUCAUCCCAUCCAUGAUCAGACCUUUUAUUUGACUAUGGAGCAUAAGAGGAAGCUUAAGGAGGAGUAUGGUUAGUAAAUUUUUUCUUUCUUUCUAUAUUUCCUACUUUGUUUGGGGGAUCUGUCAUUGGAUUGACUGACCUGUACCUUCUUAUCUAUUGUUUUAUAAUAUCUUGUAGGAAUUGAGCCGUGGACUUUUGUACAGAAGCUAGGCGAUGCUGUUUUUAUUCCAGCUGGUUGUCCUCACCAAGUUAGAAACCUGAAGGUAAAUUUAACGUGCAUUGUGAAUUGAUUUCAUCUUUAGUGAGGGAGUGUUGUUUCCUCGUUUGCUGAGUAAGUGCAGGAGAACACUGUGUUCUGUUUUAUUAGGUAUGUGGAUUCUGAUAUACAACGAUAGUAUCUUGGUUCAAUAUCUUAAAGUCCGUAUAUAUAGUUCUGCACCCAUUGAAUCAUCUUGUUAUUAUUUUCGAACUUGUUUUUGACCUAACUCUUAAGAAGGGGUGGAUGUCAGCUCCAGAUUAUGUAAAAAGGAUUAAGACCAUUGUAAUAUCGUUUGGAGAUCCUGUGGCAUAACAUGACCUCCUUGAGGCCAUUUGUGAUGGACUUCCAGAAGCAUUGAUGACAUAGGUGUUCAAUAUCUAAGGCUGAAGCAAUGGUCAUUGCUCACGAAGCUUGAUUUCAUUUGAGCUCAUCAAGAAGAAGAAUUUAGGUGAUUCAGUGAUUUUUGUGAAUGUAGCACAACUCCACAUGUCUUCUACAACAUUGCAUCCUUUUGCAUAGUGUGUUUCAGAUUACCCUUCACCGUAUUGCGCAUGUCUUCUGUCCCGACCGAUAUUGAUGUGUCAGAGGAUGUGGUAGUUGCUCUUGUGUUAGAUAUGUUCGCGGAUUUGUCAUGAGGCGUCAAUUUGUUACUAUCGCCAUGGUGUUUGGCCCCCCUCUUCAUGGUUCUCCUACUCCUUGCUGUCGGCACGUCUUGCACAAGUGCCAUAUUUUGGAUGUCCUUCUACUGUGUCUUACCAGCAAAUUGGGCAUCUUCCUCAACCUUGCCCAAAUUUUUGGGUUUUUCUCCAAGCCAUAAGGGUUAUAAGUGCUUAGACACAUCUUGUCAUAUUUUUGGGCUAUUCUUCAAAGAGUUUUGUUUUUCUUACUCUAAAAUUUUCCCUCUACUUCCAGCAACCAUACCUCUUGUUCAUCCAUCAUCCUUACCUUUACGUGUGACCAACAAUACUAAUAUUUGCCUUGCUAAUUUCCUUACUAUUCAAGUCGCUGAUACACACCCUAUACAGCCUGCUGAAUCAGCUUACACACUUCAUAUAUAGACUGUUGAAUCAGCUUCCACGCUUCAAUCUCUGAUGACGGCAGUCCGUCUCAGUCUCUGUUUCUUUCUUGGCCCAAAUCUCCUUUCAUGAUGGUUCAGUAUGCAAACAUUGGUACAUACAACAUUGAACCUGAAUUUGCAUCCUUGCUCCCACUGCUGCGAAAAUCUGUGGCUCCAUUCCUAUCUCAUUGGACUGUGUUGCUUUUCAAUCUCAAUGGAUCUGUUGUGACGGCCUAAGUACUAUGUCUAUCACAAGCUAUUGUUAUAUGCAAAGACAAAACACAUGGGGAUUGAGUCAUUUUACUGCUACUAUGAAUAUGUUGACAUCCUCAUCAAACCAGCCUCAUUGCUGUGCUUUCUUGCUCUAAGAGACAAACUAAGUGUGAUUUAUAAGUCCUCACUUAAUCACUCAGCUUAAGUUUUAGGGAAGAAUAUUAGGAUAUGUACUCAAGUUUGUGUAACUGUAUGAUGUGUCUAAUUACUGAGUGCAUUAAUGAUUGUUUGAAUUGUGCAAAUGAGUGUUUGAGCUGUGUGCAGCUUAUAUAGCGUGCAAGCAUAAAUGUCAUCAAUAGAAGUUUGUGUGUAGGUCCCCUAACUCGUAAGGUAGUUAGGGCUUAGUCUUAUAUGCAGGUUCUUCAGUGUGAUCUGAUACAAUAAUAAAAACAUCUCUAUCUAACCAAAAUCAGACUGAAUUUUCUCUGAUUUCACCUUGUACUUCCCAUGGCGUGAAUGCUUUUAUUUUAAGUAAUGGUUGAAAUGUGCUCCAUGAAAGUAUCAAUGAUAUGCAUCUUCCUUUUGUAGUCAUGCAUUAAGGUUGCUCUUGAUUUUGUGUCGCCUGAAAAUGUUGGUGAGUGCUUCCGUUUAGCAGAAGAGUUUCGCACGCUUCCCAUAAAUCACAGGUCGACUGAGGAUAAAUUGGAGGUAUGACACACUGCUUUAUUGUUUUGUUAUACAACAUCUUCUGUUCACAUUACUGUUCUGUUCAACUUGUUAUUAGAUUUGAAUUAUAAAAGAUAGCAAUUGUAGGAUAUGAACUAGAACUACAAGAAUAAUAUAGAUUUUGGGGCUUGCAGUAACACUAGUGGUUGGCGGUGGAAUCCUGUAUCACAGUCAAACUGUUGAAGUGACUCUCUCUAACCAUCUAGACUAGAAAGGUUAUUGAUAAAUUUAUGAAUUGAACCUCUCUAACCAUAGACUACAAGGUUAUUAAUAGAUAUACACCACCAAUUUGAUAGGUACCAGUAGCGAUUGAGAAAGAAAUGAUUAUUAUUCAAUUUGAUAAGUACUAAUAGGAAUGAUUUUUACUGGUUAUUUGGGAGAAUUUCCUGAUAAGUCUAGAAUCUAGGUACCUUACCAUUUCCUCUCGUUAAGUCUCUCCUAACUCUUUAGUAUCUGAAUGGCUCAUAAACUAACUAACCACAUGAUUACCCUAACUAACUAACUAAAGUAACUAAGGGUUGUUCAUUUGUGACUAACAAUGGUCUAUCAUAUGAGAAAUAAGGGGGUUUAGACAACUGUGGGCUUGGGCUUGCUAGGUAGAGGUUGAGAGUUAUUUGGGUGGGCCUAGAGCUGUCAAUAUGGGUUCCAACCCACGGGUCAGCUCGACGGGUUGGCUAAAUGAGCCGGGUUGGGUUGGUUAAAUUCCAGCUCGAAAAGAACUUGAGUUAGUGCAACCCGGCUCGUUUAACCCACGGGUUAAACGGCCCAACCCGCGGGUCAAGUGAGCCAACCCGUCGGGUUAGAGUUAUUUUUUAUUAAAAAAAUUAUUUUAUUUGUCUUUAAAUCUAGGUUAGUUUUAUGGAUUAUUUUUAGAUAAAAAAAUAGAAAUUUUCAUUUCUUUAAAUUUGAGUCGAGUUUUUGUGUUUUAUUUAUUGUUAUUAUAUUAGUUAUCUCAUUUUAAAUGUGACAGUAAAAUAAUUGUGUUCUUAAAUCCUGUAAACUAAAUUCUUUUUCUAUAUUUCAAAUGUGAGAUAAAAAUAAUUGCGUUGAUAAACCUCUUUCUUAUGUGUUCAUACCAAUUUCCGUAAGUAUUUUUUUGAAAUUAUUUUUUUAUAACAUUUUAAACAUUUUCUAAUCCAAUUUCUCUAUUUUUAUAUUAAUUUCACUCAACCCGCGAGCCAGCCCGCCAACCCGCGAGCUCGUAACGAGCCGGGUUGAGUUCAUAUUUUCCUGACUCGUUAUGACCUCGGGUUGACACAACCCAACCCGUUUUCAACCCAACCCAUACGGGCUGACCCAUAUGGGCCGGGAUGGCCCAUAUUGACACCUCUACUGGGCCUUAAUUAAGAGGUGAAUGUAUUAGUUUUUAUGAAGUUAAACUAUUAGACAAUUGUCAGUUUGUGAGAUUACCUAUAACAGAUUGAAGAGCUGUUAGGAAGUUUCAUUCUGGAAAUUGGAUCAGGUGGUUGAGAGAACUAGCUUUUUGAAUCCUAGCAAUUGUAAACACUCAUCUUUUUUCAUUCAAUAAUAUGCUCUUAGUUCUAUUCUAUCUCUUUGUUCUUCUUUAUAUGACCCAACUUCUAUCAACUAGUAUCAAAGCCCCAAUCUUGGAGAUUGUGGAUUUUUUAAUAGAAGAUUACACUCAUGGUUAGCAAGAUUGAAUUGAUGGUGAGGAAUUGGGCCUUUUACAAAGAAAGGCAUGCAAUCUUAAUUAAAAAGCUUGAGGAUAUGACAGGCUUAGCUCAAGACGUACAAAAGAUUUUAAGAAAGAUGGUAUCAAGAAGCAAAGGUUUUCUAGUGAAAGUUCACAAGAACUGAGCCAGACGAAGAGAGCAUUGACCGUAAAUUCAGCGUAUAAGCGGAUGAAGCUUGAAAUUUCUAUUUUCGAGGGUGGAGAUGAUGUGUAUGGUGGGUGCAUAAAUUCCUAUUUUGAUUGAGUGCAAUGACGUCUUGUGAUUUAUACAGCUGACCUCACUUAGUGGAAUAAGGCUUUUGGUGUAGUUGUUCGGGAGCCAUUGCGGCGGAGAAGAUGGAAGCAGAUAUGAUUGCUUUGGAUGGGUUUGCUCUAUAAGUGUCUUGCAAUCCUGAUCCACUUUGGGAUAUGUUUAGGGCAACCAUUGUAGAAAGGUUUCAACCUACUUGUAUUCAUGAUUCUUUUUCAGCUUUAUUAAGGUUGAAACCAAUUUAAUUGGCGGAGUAUGUGGAAAAAUUUGAAGAGCAUGCUACUGUAAUUAGACGGUUGGAUGAAGAGUAGGUAAUAAUUUUUUUUUCUAAAUGGAUUGAAGGAGGAUAUAGAAGCUGAAUUAAGGUUGUAUAAACCGUCUACACUAGUUGCAAUGAUGAAGAAAUCACGGUAAAUUGAGAAAAAAAUAACUGCCAGAAAAAAUAUAGCUCGACCCAUGUUUGUAAGAGGUAGCAAUACCAACUUAUGUUUUUAGGUGAAGUGGAGAUACGAAGCGAUGAAAAUGAUGUUGUGGAGGCUCAUCGUCAAUGCAAAGUAUAGUAGGUUUGACGACUAGGUUUUUCAAGGCUUGGGGCACUAUCAAGGAAUGGAAAGUGGUGGGUGGUGGAGCAUCUCACAACUUUAUUUCAUUGGAUUUGGUACAACAAUGACAAUUACCACUAUCUAAAUUAUCUUAGUUUGUUGAAGUUGGAAAUGGGCAUAAAGUUAAGUGUCAACUUGUAUGCAAGGGAGUGGUGUUAUUAGUUCAAAGGGCAGCCUGGUGCAUCAAAGCUCCCGCUUUGCACAGCCCCCGAGGCAUCAAAGCUCCCGCAAAGCUCAGCCCGGUGCAUUAAAGCUCCCGCAAUUUGCAAGUCUGAGGAAGUGUCUAACUACUUUUUUUUUAUAAGCAAGUGUCCAACCACUUGGUUUAUUGUACGCAGCCUUACCCUGUGUUUUACUCAAGAGGCUGUUUCUGUGGAAGUGGUGUUAUUGGUUCAAGGACUGAAAAUUGAACAAGUUUUUUCAUGUUUGUUUUGGGUGGAGCUGAUUUUGUUCUACGGUUGGAAUGUUUGGCUUCUCUUGGUCAAAUCAGUGCAAACUUUGGUAAUCUUACCAUGAAGAUUGUAGCGGUCAGAUAGAAAAAGUGGUUGAAAGGUGAAGCUGAGUUAACUAAAGCUUUUACUUCUUUGUAGCCUAUGAGUAAGGUCUUUAAUCCUUGUGAGGAUAUGUAAGUACUUCUGAGACUCUUUUUGUUGCUGAUCUCUUAUGAAGCUCUAAUAGAGUCACAUAUUUAAUACUCCCUCUGUUCCAAAAUAUAUGUUUUAGGUUGUGAAUAUUGUUUAAGAGUUCAUUAAUUGAUAAAUAUUUUGAUUGAAAUAUCCCUAUUUAAAGUUGUUUAUAUUAAGGAGAGAGAAAUGUUAUUAUUGGUUAAGUGGAUAAUGAUUAAUGAGUGUUGUGAUAGGUGAAAAUUGAAAGUGGUAAUUAAGAGAUAUAAUAUUAAAUGAUGGUAUAUAAGGAAGAAAGAGGAAAAAUGCAUUGGUUUUGCAAAACAACUUAUAUUUUGGAAUAUAGUACAAAUUCUAAAACAACUUACAUUUUGGAACGGAGGGAGUACUGGUUUUGGAAUUUUAAUCUUAGCUAAAAGUACAGAGGAUUAAUGGUAUGUGUAUUUAAAUAAUAGAGAAGAUAUAAAUAAUUAAUCAUUAGACCAAAUUUUCCAAUACACAGCUUUUAUACUGGUUCUGGAAUUUCUAUUUUCUUAGUCUUUGUAGCCUUAAUUGUCAGCAAUUCCCAGUAUCCAAUUUAACAGGCUGUUUUGUCAUGCCAAUAGUCUCUUAUUGUGAUUUUGCGUAAUUUUUUUUUUCCUGAUGGUUGCUUCCUCUGAAACAGGUGAAGAAAAUGACUUUGCAUGCUAUGAUUGAUGUGGUCCAAAACUUGGAGAAAGCAAGGUUAGUGAUUGCCGAACUGAUUUUUCUCAAACAUUUAUAUUGUCAUUCAAAUUUGAUUUUUCUCUAUCAGAACUGAUUAUGAGGUUUCCCAUUGGGGAACCAAAUGCACUAAUCUUAUGAGUGCAAAUCGUGAAACCACACAUUGUUCACAUUGCUACAAAUCAUUGUUGAUUUAUAUCUUAUACCCACAUUUGAUUUUGUUCUGAGCUGCGGGUCUAAUAUUUGCCUUUCUUUUAUGCUUAUCUUACAGGUCCAGGGAGACCAAGGUUCCAUCUUAAUUGUAUCUGUAACAGUAUGAUUCCAAAAGGUCGUGCAAAAUUUAGAGUUGCUUAUUUACGUUUGGUGAUCUUGGGUUUUAUGUAUUGUGUGGCGGUAAGGAAGAUUCAUGUUUUGUUAUCUGGCACAGUACUUUUGAGACAUCAUAUGUAACAUAUAUGUAUCACCCCUUGUAUACCAUUGUAGUUUUGGUACUUCUGAAUGCAUAGAUGAUGAAAUUCUAUGUUUCAAUGUGUUUGCAAAAUAUGGCAUUGCAGCCAUUGCUGAUUUGUGUCAUGUUUUUUUGUUGACAUUUUCCACCAAGUAAGAGAAUGAUAUUAUAAUACUGUGCCACGUCUAGAGCAUCAUAAUGAAAUAGAAACACUUGAACCCUGUUUGUUUUGUUGUUAUCGGGCAAUAAUCCUGUGUACUUUUUAUACUAUAAAAAAUGUCCCGAAAUUAAAUUAUAAAUCGGCAAAAAAUAUGUAUUAUAUAUUUUAGGGAGUUUAAUUUCUAUGCAUUAAGUGUGUAAAUUUUUUUUACACCAUCAACCAAUCAAAUUUAGGAUGUGAGAAAAUCUCUAUUUUUAUUAAAUUUCAUUGAUUAAUGUGACACAUCUUUGAAAUCUGAUUGGUAGACGAUGAAUUUUUUUUUACACCGUCGGUGCAUCAUCAUUUUUCUCAAUUUUAUAAUUUUCUUUAAAACAUGGUUGAUUAUCAUGGUUUUGACAAUAUGGCAUGAAUUGAUUUUUUUUCUUAAAUUGAAAAUACAUUAAUUAAAAGAAAAAAUGCAACAAAUCUAAUAGAUUGACAUUCACAAGAAGAACUAUAGUCUAAGAAACUCUUCCACCCAAAAUGAAUUAGAAAGCCCAAGUGCAUUGCCGACCUCAUACUCCACUAUAGAUACGCUGCCUCUGCAAGUAACAUCGAUAGAAUAGCGAACGAGUAUUAGGUUGCAGGCGCCAUCACCUCGUCGUUUGCAUCCUGCGCCACCAUGCCCACGCUAGCAACAUUGCUAUCUGGAAAAGAAGCAUCAAUAUUAAACUUAAUAGUACCUGCCAUAAGAUGACGCCAAGCCGCAAGCUGCUCCAAGAGUGGCCUGAGCCCUGAUGGGUUGUUACUCCUAGUAAGAUCUUAAGUGAUGGUUUUGAAUAAUAUCUUAAACUCCAAUAUAUAAUUCUUGAGCUUUAUGGGUGUAAACCAUUUGGAAAAUUGUGAAGUCUUAAAGCAAUAUUUUAUUUUAUGUCAAAUGUGGAUAGCAAUUUUGAGAUAUGCAACAUAUGUUCAUAAUAUAAUACUCCAAAAAAAAACUAAUUGGGCCCUGACAAUGAAACUAAUUGGGCUAUACAUAAACAGAAGCUAAGAUUGGGCCUGAAACAACCCAAUUGUCUGCUUUAAGAAGAAUCGAGAAGUGACGAGAUAUUCAAUUCCUCUUUUCCAAACGGACCCCUAUAAAUCCACACACCUUCAUCUCUCUGAUUCUUUUUCUUCUUCUUCUUCUUCCGCAAGCAUAGCGAUUCAGGUUUCAGGGUUCGAAAUUCUCGAAGCGUAAUUGAAAUCUGAGCGGUGGAAACUUGGAUCUGAAUUUUGCAUCGAAUUCCGUUGCGGUUUUCCCGAUUCGAUCGUUCAUUCUUUGGUAAGUGCAACUCUCUCUUUUUCCUUUGAAUUCUGUUAUCUGUUCUAUGUGUUAGACAUGUCAAUUGAUUACGUGCUGAGAAUCCGAUUGAAAAUAGCGUAAUUCAGAAUCUAUGCUAUUGAUAUGGUUAUGGUGGUUUCUGUUAGGUUUUGUGUAUAAUCUCGUAAUUCAGUGGAGAAAUUAGGGUUCAUCAUAAUUAUUUGGUAUGAACUUCUGUGUGAAAAUUACUUACCAAAUUUUAUGCCAGUUGCAUGCCAGAAAUAUUUGAGGCUAUGUUCUGUUUUGGUAAUUUCUCAUAUUGGUUUAAUGUGAUUUCAGUUUAUCUUACAGAACUAUAUUACUGGAAGAUUAACUAUUUCAAGAUUACUCUGUAAUCUUUGUAGGGGUGUCGAACCCGUGCUAUAUUUAGUUCUGUUAAGUGUUUUUAAGAAAAUAUUCAAAUGGCUACAGAUUAUCUGCUUAGAAGGCUUAUACUCACAUACUUGUUGUGGUAAGUUUCCCUGAGAGGCAAGCAUGAAAGCUUGGAAACAUGUUUGUGUUAAUGUAGUUCCUUUAUCUUGAUUUAGUUUUAGUUUGUCACAUGACUAUGGUUGCAUACAUGGUAUUUUGCUUGUAGCUUUUGUCAUAUUUGUCUAUUUCAGUCAUACCCCUGGUUUACUUGAUUUUUUUUAGGGCCUUGUCUUGGUUUAUAAUUGGUGUCUUUUUUAUUUUCUUAGGUCAGGGAUUGACAUUAAAGUCUCAAGAUGCCAGCUACAGCAGGAAGAGUUCGCAUGCCUGCGAACAAUAGGGUGCACAGCAGUGCAGCCCUUCAAACCCAUGGCAUAUGGCAGAGUGCCAUUGGAUAUGACCCUUAUGCACCCGCACCCAAUACGGAAGACAAGAACAAUUCUCAGAAUCUGCCGAAUGCAGAACCAGAUGGUGAAAAUGCCUAUGCCAGCUUCCAAGGGCUUCUGCAGCUUGCUAGGAUAACCAAUACUGAUGUGGAUGUGUCUCGUGGGGCCUGCAAGAAGUGUGGCCGUGUUGGGCAUCUUAAGUUUCAGUGCAAGAACUUAGUGAAAGUCAAAGAUGAUAAGGAGGAAAAGGACUUUGAAGCAAUGCAGCCUCGGGGGUUAGUUGGAAUGGAUAAGAAGUUGAUGGGAAAGGAUGAUAAGGUGGAUAGAAGUGAUGGUAAGAUCUCAGAUGAGGAUGAGUUAGAUGAUAGUGAGAGUUCGGAUUCUGAGAUUGAUUCAGAGAUUGAGAGAAUUAUUGCUGAAAGGUCAGGGAAAAAAGUUAGCAAGAAGGUAGGCUCUCAUAGAAAGAGACGGGAUUCGGAUGAUGAUGGGUCAGACAAAGAUUCUGGCAAAAAGAGGAAAAAGAGAGGUAGGUCGAAGAGGAGGAGUGCUAAGAGGGAAGUUAGUGAUUCAGAUGACUCAAGUGAAAGGAGGAGGCGGAAGAAAAGGAGGGAACACAGGAGGAAGAGGCUCGAUUCUUCUUCUUCUGAUGAUGAUGAUGAGUAUACGCGUAGGCAUAGAAAGAGUAGGAAGGAGAAGAGGAGAAGGAGAAGCCGUCGAUCAGAUUCUGAUUCUGAAACAUCUGAUGAUUCCUCCACACGACACAAGCGGAAAAGCAAGAGGGAAAAAUCAUCAUCGAGUGACACUGAUUCAAGUGGAUAUAAUGAUUCAAGGAUGGGCAGGAAUGUAAAGAAAUCUGAAAAGAGGAGACGCCACCGUGGGGAUGAUGAAUAGUGUGGCAAAAUCUUGGCGCACUAGCUGAUUCUAUGGCUUUUGAUGAUUGUGAAUUUCAUGUGUCAGACACCUAUAUGCUUGUUUGAAUAUUGUUGUUUGUUUGCUUGGCUUCCGAAUUCAGAGUGUCUUGAUUGAUUUUCACUCACUUAAUAUCAAAUGCAUGGAUGGUUAUCUUGUAUGAGCUUGUUUUCUGAUUUUUCUCUCAAAUUUUCUUUCCCGUUUACUGCUUUUUGUUUUCAUCUUGUUUCUUUUAUUUAUCUCAGUUGGCAACCAAACGCAAUAGUGUGUGCUAGGAUAGUGUGUUAAGAACUCAAGAUUCCCGUUCAGUGUAACAUGAAUUUACAUGUUAGCACGCUCUAAAAGAGACAAAAAGUGACUAGAACAUUUUUUAUGCGUUGAGAUAAAUUUCGUUUGCUAAUCCUCAAACUCCGUUGCUCUUUUUUAGCGGAUAUGUGGAUGGCCAAGAUGAAAUUUCUCUUGUAUAUACUUCAAUAGUCAAAAAUGAAAAAUAAUGUAGUAGCCGCAAAGACUGAUAUUUAACUGAUGUUGUAGAUUGUAGGAGAUGGGACUAUGCCUAGAGUGAAUUUGACAACUUACUUUAGGGAAUGAAAUAAGCCAUCAUAUCCACACAGUUGUGAUUGUGAUCAUAUAUUUGUAAUGUAUUAUAACUAUUAAUUAUAGUGUUAUUUUACAUAUAAAUAAUCAAUCAAUGAUUGUGACAAUUUACUUUACAUUUUAAAAUGACAAAGUCACGUUAGAGGAGUGAAAUCCGUAAGAGAAGAGUAUGCGUAAAUAAGGAAAAUGAAAAAAAAAUAUAUGGCAAAGUGAUUAGACAAAGUUUUCAUAAUAGAUGUGGGAUUCUUGUACCAUCCAAGUAUAUUGAAAAAUGAAAAUUGAAACAAAUUUUGGGAUGCAUUAAUGAACUGUUAAAUUGCAAAUGGAGUUUUUCUUUCUUUCUUUUGAGCUGCUUUCACUUAAUUCUCUCUCUAUAGUUGAAAAGAAUUUCAGACUGAUAGCUGGACAAUUAGUUAAAACUCACAAAUUCUUAAGCAUGUUGUGAAUAAAUAUCUCAAUGGUAUGGCGAAAUCGAAGCUAAUUCGGUUUAUCAACCAAAUUUAUAUAUCUUUUUGUUUUCAUAAAUAUUCAGAGUGUUCCACCUAUUUAGCACAUAUGAAAAGAAAUGUCGACACAAAAUUUCAAUCUCAGUAUGGCACAUAACUUAGGACACUCCUGGCUGGUUGUGCUCCUCCUUUUAGCUUGGGAUGCCAUUUCUUGUAACUCACAAGUGUCAUGUUUACAGCUCCGGAAUGCAGUUAUAUAAAAUCAUAGGCUGGAAAAGAAACCCUUGAUAUUAACAUGGUCAAAGCCAAUAGUGGUUUCCAAUGAGGGUUUGGGGGAAAAGAUUUGAUACUGGACAAUUAGAGAGUGAAUAAAAAUCUUCUUUUGGUGUGUGCUGUUUUACUAUCUACUGGGGUUGUGUUUGUGGAAUGACAUGACAUGCACAAAAUGCUGAUUUAUUUGGUUAAAGACGUUGUAUAUAUGUUAUCAUUGAUUAGAAAAAUGUAUAACUUUUUCAAAAGUGAAAUGAGAUGUGUAUUCUUAUCACUGAAGGAAUAUGUACAUUCUAUUGGGAUUGAGUUUUUUUUGUGUAAAAAUUUCACUAACUCACGGAAACGACUUAUUCCCAUUCUCACUAUGUUUCUGUUGCAUUCCAUUUCUUCCCACAUUAUUGAGAUGUGCAAGUGCUGAAAACUGUGUAGAAAUCAUAUUCCUAGAAUAUCCAGCCCAACAAGUUUUCCCUUUAUAACUUGGCUAUGAAGUGAUGAAACAAUGACUGCAUUGAUAAAACUAGUUGACAAGCUAAUUUCAAAUUUAUAAGCUAGCUGAAAGCCGAUAAGUUAAACAUAUAAAUUAAAAGUUUUUGAAAAAAACUAGUUAUUGAACUAGCUGAAAAAAAUGAACAAUAAUAUAACAUGAAGUAUUUUACUUUAUUAAUUACCAUAUAUGUAACCAUUUUUUCUAUGCCUGCUUUACUUUCCAGUCAGAGAGCAUCCUUUAGCUUUUUUUCAGCUUCUCUCCUUUGCCAAGAUUUGACAUCUUGUUCUUGCUUGUGAUGAUAAAACUAAUAAAUAAAUAAGCAACGUGCCAACAAAAGCAGAAAACCAGAUUCCCAGUGAGCUAAAGGAAAUGGAGACAAUGUCAUAUCUGUCUCACUGUCUCUACUCUCUACUUGCCAAUGAUGCUUAUAGAUUACAACCACUUGUGACAUUUCCCUGCAACACUCAUUCAAAAGGAUAAGGAGCCAAUGGUUCUAAGAAAUGUACCAUAUUUGGGAUUAUAUUUUUAUUCAGAAGGGAAGCUAAUUCUGAUAUCAGUUGGUGUACAUAAAUAAAACGUGAUUUUAUUAGCACUUCUUGGCAGAAGAAAAUUUCAAAGUUCCAGCCAGAGAAUGAGAAAGGAAUCAAUGAGUAAAAUGUGGCAAUUUAACAACAAAGUUGAUGUGAUAAGUUUGGUAUGUUCCAAAUUUCUAUAGGCUGAGGUCAAUCAAUGAUAAUGAACGAAUAUAAGAUCGCGUAGCAGUUGGUGCAGCAAGUGUAUGAUUGAAAACUAGCUAGGUUUCCAUGUUUGGAGAAGAAUUGCUUUUGAAAGAAGCUACUGAAAGUAGCUUUUGUGAAAGAAGUGGUUCUGGAAGAUUUUAACCUGAAACCAAACAUGUUAUAACUUAUAAGAGUACGUGUAAAAUUCCACUAUGAGAAUGAAAAAUCAAGCAAAAAAGAAGUUUGGAAUGUUGAAUGGAGAGUGUUGAUGUGAUGAGGAAUAUUUCAAAUUAUCAACAUGUUUGUUCCCCUUAAUUCCUCUAUAUAUUGGUUGAAGAAGACAGAAGACAUCACACCAUUCCUUCAAAGGCAAACAAACAAUAGAAAGUACAAAAUCAAAAGAGGAAAUUCAUGAUGUUGAUGCAUUGCCAUGAAUUGUGCAAGCCAGUCUCUAUUAUGAUUAUAGUUAACUUAGCUAUGGCUUUAGUCAAUGUACUUAUGAAGAAGGUUCUUAGUGAAGGAAUGGACUACAUGUCCAUUGUAACAUAUAGACAAGCAAUUUCAUUUAUCUUCAUGGCACUUAUUGCUUGUUUCUAUGAAAGGUGAGAGCCCCUAGGUCUCUUCACUUCUUUCUUCUUAUUCUCCUUCCAUCACUUCUUUGGCUAAUACACUUGCUUUCUUUGGUUGUCAUGUAAAAAAGUCCUUCCCCUUGUACUUCAUAUCAAUAUAUUGCUUGGCUUAUAAAAAAAAAAUGUAAAAAAGUCCUUUGUUUGAGAGACUAAGUUUAAUUCUAGAACUACUGAAAUUUUACAAAAGAAAAUACAUAUAUAACAGUUUUCUACUUUUGACAGGAAACACAAACUGGAGGCUCACAUAAUAUGUCUCCUUUUUCUCUCUGCUCUAGUCGGGUAAGUACUUUUGUAACUAAAGAUACAUGCUUCUAGUUCUGUAGUGACGUUGUUUUAAUUGUAAUACUAAAAAGUAAUAACUAUAGAGCUAGCCAAUAAAAUUUAUGAUUUUGAUAUUCUACUAAUUCUUUUCAGAGUUACACUCCCUCAAUACCUGUUUCUUCUUGGACUUGAAUACACUUCUGCCACAUUCUCAUGUGCAUUCCUCAACAUGGUGCCAGUAUUUACAUUCAUUAUGGCGCUGCCAUUUGGGUAAGUUAGACAAAAGAUAUUACUUGAUUGUGGUAUAGCGUUUUAGAAGAGCUAUGUUAUAGUAUAGUGUUAAUGCAAUUAUUCGGGUAAACUUAUUAAAAUAGCCCAUGGCUUGCCUACAAGUUGCUUUGAAUUUAUUUUCAGACGUUACUCAUAUUAGCGCUUAUACCUAUAAUCUUUUUGAGCUUAUUUCAAUACGCUUAUCAAACUAGCUUGGGGAUAAGCACUUCUAUGAUAAGCUCUUAUUUACCCAAACACACACCCCUACAACUAUUUUAACCCUUUGAGUUGAAAAUUUUCAAGGAUAGAGAAGGUGAACAUGAAAAGCAAGAGUGGUAAAGCCAAAGUCUUGGGAACUUUUAUGUGCAUAUGUGGAGCUUUGUUAUUGGCUCUCUAUAAAGGAAUACCCUUGAUCAACUCCCAAUCACAAGACAUGGCAAACAAAGCUGCAAGCACAACCCGAGAUGCCUCAACAGAGAAAUGGAUUAUAGGCUCAACCCUUCUAACUGCAGGCUGCCUCUUCUGGAGUUCUUGGUUUAUCAUACAAGCAAAGAUUAGCAAAAGUUAUCCAUGCCAAUACUCUAGCACAGCUAUUUUGUCACUUUUUGCUGCCAUUCAAUCAGCAAUAGCAACUUUGGUCAUGAGGAGAAAUAAUGCCUCAUGGAUCCUCAAAGGAAAGCUAGAAAUAAUGAGUGUUAUAUAUUCUGUAAGUAUGUUCCUUACAAUGACAUACAUCAUUUACAAUGUUUUUGAAAUAGUCUGUUAGUUCCUUACAAUAACAAAUUUUGUUUUGGAUAGCAAAUCGAUAUUAUCACAUACAUUAAGACAAAAAGUGAACAAAUAUUUUCUUAUGAAUUGAGAUGAAAGUUCCUUUAUGUUGCACUUAACUGAUAUGCAAAAACACACUUUAUGUUCAAAUCUAAAUAUCGAUUUGCAUUUGAGGUAGAAGAUUCAACAAUCAUAAUUACCUGCACAAACCUUAGCAUUUAACUUAGUUGUUUAUGUGAACACAGGGAUUAGUGGGAUCAGGUUUGUGCUAUGUGGCUAUGUCAUGGUGUGUCAAACAAAGGGGUCCAGUUUUUACUGCAGCAUUUAGCCCCUUGAUACAGAUAUUUGUGGCUGUGCUUGAUUUUACUAUACUAAAAGAGGAGAUUUACAUGGGAAGGUUGAUUCCUAUUACCACUCUUCUAUGAUUUCCAUUACUUUUCUACAUUCCAUUACACCUAAUGUAACCCUUUCUGCAAUAAGCAGUGUUGCAGGAUCAGUCUUGGUCAUUGCUGGCAUGUAUAUUCUUCUAUGGGGAAAAAGUAAAGAGGGAGAGCAGUGUGUCCUGAAGGAUACACAAACAAAUCAAGAUGUAGAAUGUCAAUAACAAUACCACCAGUGACAAUGUGUAUAACUGAUGUACUGUACUCUGUAUUGCAAGAGUAAUUAAUUCAUAUAAAAGUAAUAAUCAAAUAAAUGUUUCAUAUGUUUUUGACCAACUUUAAUUGCUAAAAACUUUUAUGCCAUCUACUCAAACAAGAAGCAAAUCUUCUAUUAACGAAUCAUUAUUCAAUGAGCUUUCCUCAUUGUCCUGGCGACAGCCAAGUUUCAUUUGAUAGGCAACAAAGUUUAGCAUAGAAUAAGUUUCUUCUGAAUCAGAGUGUGUUUUAUCAUGAGCAAUGAAUCUACGAGAGACUCCACAUAUUUCAACAGAACUAAACCCAGGUGAUUUUUUCACCCCUCUUCGCUCCAUGGCUUCUCUCAUGCCUCUUGCAUCAUCCCAGCGUUUAACACCUGCAUAAACAUUUGACAAGCCAAUAUACCUUCCAUCAUGAUCUGGUUCUAGCUCAAUAAGCUUCCUUCCAACUAUUUCAGCCAGCUCAAAAUUUCUAUGGUUAAUACAUCCACUAAGAAGAGCACCUAACAUGGAAGCUGUUGGUUCCAUUGGCAUUUGACAUAUAAAUUGGUAUGCAGUAGCUAAUUGACCGGCACGCGCUAGCACAUCUACCAUGCAGGCAUAGUGCUCACUUGAAGGUGUCAUGCCACAUUUAUCAAGGCUUUCAAAGAAGUGCCAUGCUUCUUUAACUAACCCUCCAUGGGCACAGGCAGCCAACAAGCACAAGUAUGUAACCUCAUCGGCUUUGAUACCAACCGCUUGCAUAUCCUUAAACAAUCCAAGAGACUCUUCGACUGAUCCAUGUGUUGCGAGACCUCCAAUCAUUGCAUUCCAAAUCAACACAUCAGUUUUUCUCUUUGAGACACCAUGGAAUACAAGUAAAGCCUCCUCUAUUGCCCCACAUUUGGCAUACAUGUCCACAAGUGAAGUCUGCAGGACCAGUGUCAGUGGUAAGCCAUUGUCAACUAUGUACUUGUGCAUCAUUUUCCCCUUCUCUAGAGCACCCAGGUGUGCACAGGCACACAAGACACUCACCAUGGUUACUUCAUUGGCCUUGGGCCCAACAGCACGCAUCUUUUCAAAGACAGCCAUAGCUUCCCUGUAUUCACCAGCCUUAACAUAACCAUCAAUCAGAGAACUCCAUGACCGAACAUCCCUCUCUGACAUGGACUCAAAAACUUUAUGAGCCAAAACCAUUUCUCCACACUUAGCAUAGCCAUCCAACAUGGAAUUCCAUGAAACCAGAUUUUUUUCCUGCACACUGUCAAAUACCUUAUGAGCCCAGACAAUAUUCCCACAAGAAGCAUACAUGUGAAUCAACGAAUUCUGGAUAAAUCUAUCAUACUCAUGCCCAGUUUUUAUUAUGUGGGCAUGCACAGAUACACCGGUUUCCUGAUUUAAGAGGCGUGCUGAUGCUUUCGCAAGAAAUGGAUAUGUUAAGUAAUCGGGUGCAAGCCCAUGUCGCAGCAUCUUUAGAAAAAUAGAUAGUGAUUGAAUUGGAUUUUUGCUAUUUGAAUAGCCUCUUAUGAUUGUAUUCCAGAUAAAAAUUCUUGGACUGGAAAGCUGGGAGAAAGCCCUGUAUGAAUAAUCAAUGUCGCCUGAAUUGGACAGAGCAGAAAAACAAAGAACUUUGGAUAUAAAUGGCUCAUCUUGAGACAAGCCGGAAGUGAUCAAAAUAGCAUGAAGUUGCUUCAGUUCAAGCAUUGAUUUGCAUCCAUCAAGGAGGCUGAGUAGAGUUUGGUUUAGAUUUGCAAUUUUAAAUGACGGUGACACGCCAGGCAUUUAAAGAUAUAUCUUCUAGCACCUGCUGGUCUAACACUUCAAGUACAUGUAUUACCCAAGCACCGCCACACUGUUUGGAGACAGAGAAUGUGAUGGUUAGGGAUCAAGGGGUUCUCAAGCUUUUAAUUGAAUUUAAGUAGUUAGUCGUCAAGGAAACAUAGACAUCAUUGUAAACAGGAAGUCAAAUUUAUAUAAAUAAGAUUAUAAUAUUGGUGCAUCAUGACCCUAAAAAAGGGAAGAAACUGGGGAACCAAACAACCCAGUAAGACAUCUGAACUAUAAGAAUGCACGAUUCCUCUUUUAAAGGUUUAAUUUCCAAAUAAGCACAAUCAUGCUUCAAAACAAUUUAUGAAGAAUAAUCCAAUCUCAUAUUUCUUGACUUCAAAGUCCUUCCACCAAUAAUUCAGUCCCCAUCGAAAAAUUAUUAGUUCUGACAGUAUGAUGAAGACUGAACCAUCACAAUCAAGAUUAAGAACCAAGCAUUAAAUAGAAAAACAGGGAUCAUAACCAUUUAAACCUUUAAUCAAGCAUAUAAGAUACUUCAUUUUCAAAUAACAGUGCCAGAUAAUAAAAAUUAACAUCUCAGCUAAAUUUAUUUCCUCAUUUCAAUCUCUCACUCUCACCUAAACGGAUGGAUUACAUCAAAGUCAACUUAAAUAUAAUACACAAGUGAAAAAGUAAGCAGAAAAGUGAUUCAAUAAGACUGUGUUUGUUAAGCAAAUGCAUUCUCUUCUCUAAUGUUAUUAUCUGUACUCUUUUAAGCAACAAAAUUACAGAUUAAGUGAGUACUAACCAGAAUGAGAAGCACAUCUAAAUUCAUUAAUGCAUUCCAACUAGUACAGAUGAUUUAUUCCAUAUCAAAGUUGCUGUUAGUGCUACCAGGUUUCUUUCAGUCAUUUUAUCAACUAGUUUGCAGACAGAAAGCUUGUCUUUGAUUCCAUUAAUUAGAACUAACAAUUUUGAACCUAGUCAAUGAUAUAAAAUGGCUGAAAUAACAACAAAUGAAGCAUACAACAACAACAACAACAACAUCAUCAAAAAGCAAAACCCACAUUGUAUUUAUGUGCAAGAAGGUAUUUUGAUACAUACCCACAAAAGGGGAGGUGGCGGUUUGUUAGACAGAGGCGUCCUGAUGAUAGAAGAUCUCUCCGUUCACGCAAAAUGCAGUAGAGUCACUCUUUGGGCUUGGGCGAGCGUUUUUCUGGCGGCUAUAUAAUUUUAGCAGCGAUUUUGGUUGCUGCUCUUCACUUGUUUCGUUUCAACACUUUUGCUUGUUUGGUUUAUCAAACUAGUGAGUAGGAUUUGUAGUUUGCUUUAUAAGUAUUGUAUAAAAUGUUUUAUUUUUACUAUAAAUAUUUAUAAAUAAGUAUGUAAUAAUUGAGGGUUGAAAUUGAAAGUUGGGUAAAGACCAAUCCUCUCCUUUUUAGUUAAAGUUGGAUCGAUUAAAACUCAAAGAAUUGCUCGCCAGCACUAACGUUAUGUAAGAGUAAAAUAUGAAGGAACGAUAGUGCAAUGUAAUUAGAUAAGUAAAUUAAGAAUAUAGCUCCAAACUUUUACAAUUUAUAUAGCUCUUCCAAAGAAGCCAACAUUGUAGCUUCAGUAGCAACGAAUGAAGUCCACUCGACGUCACAUAUAAUACAAAGAGGAGGAAUGACUUUGGUAUGAAUCAUAUAAAUAGUGGAAACAAAACAGAGUCGACAAGUGGCAAAGGGGGCUGAGACAAUGGAAGCGGAGGCAACAUGGUAGAAGCAAAGGCAGACAACAACGUAAGCAAAGGCAAUAGCGGAGGUGACAAUAAAUUCGGUAGAUGUGGUGGUGCUAGCAGGUAGUGGCGGAGGAGGUGAAUGAUCGUAAAGUAAAAAAGAACAAAAAAGUGAAAAAAAUACUUCAUAGAGGAUUGAAACAGGAGGAAUGACUUCAGUAUAGAUCAUAUAAACAGUGGAAACAAAACAGAGUCAACAAGUGGCAUAGGGGGAUAACCCCCUUUCUCUCUAAUUAUGAGGUACUAAAUUUGCUUUUGAAUUGAAAAACAAAUAGGCAUUUAUCACCUUACUUUAUUUUGUGUGUGUGUGUUAAAAUUGCGCGCUAUUGCAAUUUCGACUUAGGUGUUAAAGGUCUCCCCAAGAGUGUGGUUCCUAGGAAUUGAACUCUCAACCUAAGAUUCAAAUAUCAACUUUUUAUCACUAUAACCGACAUUCGUUGGAUAGUUAUAAGUUAUAACCUUAUUUUGAGAGUUUGUGAUUAGUUACAAAUACUUUUUAAUGAAGAACUACUCUAAAAGUUUAAAGUUAAGAAGCACCGACAUCAACACCAACUCUAAACACGACACAUACAAGGCAAGGCAGGAUACCGGAACACAACUCAAACACCACAACAUCUUAAGAAGUUGGGUGGCAAAACACCAGCUAUAUAUGAAAAAAAUAUAUAAAACCCUAAAUAUUAUAUUUCAAAAUAACUUCCUUGAUAAGUAACCAAGUCUACGGCAUCAAGCAAAGGAGAACAGUUUGAAGAUCAAACUGAUUCCUAGAAAACAAAAAUUCAACAAUUCAAACCAACAUUAAUUAGGUCCAAGAAAAUUAAAAGCAUAACCUAUAGAUUACUAAGCAUAAUGGUUCAAGCAUUAGAUAGCCUACUUCCUUCCAUGCAUAUAGUUGAAGAUUUGAGCUUGGAGCUGCAUGUCAGUGUCAUAUAAUCCAUUAGGCUGGUAGAAUUCAUCAUACAAUGGAUAAUCUGUCAGAGUUUGGUAAGCUCCUUGAUCGUGCAGGUUCUCAGAAGAAAGAGCAUGUUGCUGCUGCAUUGCCUGAAUAUAAUUUCCAUCAUAAUAACCUGCUGGAUUCAUGUUUUGAAUUUGAUUGUUUGCUUCAGCUUCUCCAUACUCCUUCACUUCCAGCACACCACCAGUUCUAGGAUCAUCACCUGUUACAACAUCAUUUCCCAUCAAUUGAAGCAUGGAAGCAGGUUGAGAGCUCUCACCAAUCUGAAAUGUAUUGUAGCUAUCACCAAUUGGAUUCAUGUUCUGCAUCAUGAGAUAAUUGAGGUAGCUAUUCUGAUUUGGGUCCAAAAAAGGAGGAAUUGAUUCUGCUACUUCUUUUCCUUUUAGCAUAUUCAUCCUUGCAUUGCAUGCAUCAAGCUUAGCAUCCAAAAAGUUAAUCAUAAUCCUCAAUUGUUCUUCCCCCAAAUUAUUCAAAGAUGCAUCCCAUUCAGGGUACAUCACCUUCAUCUUGUUUUUGUACAAUUUGGAAAUCUCCCCUUCAACUUUUUUGAUCCUAUCAUCAAAAUACUCAUGCACACCAAACAUCUUGGCACGCCUAUCACUAGUUGUGUUCUGAUAUUUCUGAAUGACGUGAUGAAAUUUGCUUGGGUCCUCUGGGGGCCAUGACCAUGUUUCAGGUUCAGCAGAAUUAGGGGCAUAGAUAAUUGCAGCGGCUUCAACAUCACAAAGAAUGGAAAACUCAUUAAAUUUUUUCAGCAACCCAUCUUUUCUCUUCUUAAAGGUUGUUUCUCGAUUUUUUUCCUUCUUAAUCAGUUCCAUAGGUAUUCUUCCACGACCCAUUGUCUACAAAAGAAUUUAUCAAAAAAAAUUGAAGUCACUAUUUUUUCUUUCUCUAACGAAUCAAAGUAACAAAGGCUGAAUAUGAGAUACUAACAUAUAUAAAAAUCGAUGAAAUCAAAAUAAAUACUAUAUUUCUUGUAUGUAUUCUAAUGAAUCAAAAUGAUAAAGACUGAACUGUAAGUAUGUAACAUAUAACAUAGUAACAUGUAUAAAAAUCGAUGAAACCAAAAUAAAUACUAUAUCUUGGUAUUCAGCAUACUCAUCGUACUAAAUCCAAAACCAUCAUUUUCACCAAGAGUUCAAGAUUAAAAUAAAAGACUUAUGUAGUAAAAGGUUUCUUCAUCAAAAGCAACAAAAAAAAUGGAGCUUUACCUCUUUUUCUCUUGUUGAAACCUUGUUCUAUUCCUCUCUUUUUGCUUUCUCUCCUUGUUUGGUGUGUUAACUAUCCUUUUAUAAAAGACUUUAUUUCAUUUUAUAUCGUUAAUUUCUUUCUCCCUUUCCUUUAAUUAGUGCUGAAAUUUCUCUACUCUGCCCUAUUAAAUUCAAUAUUCAUUAUUUUUGCGAUUUCGAUUUAUUUCUUUCCUCUUUUAAAUUUAUGAGCCCGUCCUUAUCCUAAUGUUUGACAAUUAAAUUUAUAUUAAAUACCUGAAUAUUUAGUUCAUUCAGGAUCAAUUGAUCACUUGUUUCCAUUUUUACUCAAAUUAUAAUUAAUUGCUAUAUAUCUUCGAUGAAUUAUAUAUAUGCAUUCACAUGGUCUAAUUACUUUAACGAAAUUUUAGGACAGAAAUGCCAAUCUUAAUUGAUUUUGUUCAAUUUAAAUUGUGAUUUAGUUUGAAAAUAAAUGGAUUAUCUGCGUGUGGGGAUUUUUUGAGCCAUGUUACCAUGUAGCAUUGUUCUUCUGACUGAAACAAAAUUGAUUAACUUCAAAUAUGCUUCAUGCCUAGUCGUGUGGGGAUUUUUUCGGGCCAUGUAGGAUUGCUCUUUUGAAAUGCCUUAAACAAAAUUGAUAGAUGGCACGGCAAAUUUUUUAAUGAACAUUCACAACCAAAAAGUCAUCGUUUGAUCUUAAUUGAUUUUGUUCAAUCUAAUUGUGAUUUAUUUUGAAAAUAAAUAAAUUAACUACAAAGUUGCUUUUUGCCUAGUCGUGUGGGUAAUUUUCAGGCCAUGUAGCAUUGUUCUUCUAAAACGAAAUUGAUAGAUGGAACGGCAUAGAUUUUAAUGAACUUUGAUGACUAAAAAGCCAUCAAUCUUAUUUGAUUUUGUUCAAUUUAAAUUGUGAUUUAGUUUGAAAAUAAAUGGAUUCAUCAAAGCUUCUCCGUGCCUAGUCGUGUAAGGAUUUUUUGGGCCAUGUAGAAUUGCUUUUCUAAAACGGAUUUCAUAGAUAUAUGAUGGCACGACAAAAAGCCACCAUUCAAUCUUAAUUGAUUUUGUUUAAUUUGAAUUGUGAUUUAGUUUGAAAAUAAAUGGAUUACCUACAAAUUAAGCUGAUUCGUGCCUCUUUUGAUAUUCUUUUAUUGAAUAUUUAUUUAAAUAUUGAUCUAAUAAGCUAUGAAACCCAGGUCCAUGUGGAACCAGAAAACACGUUCUAAUCAAUUUCUUUCACAAAAUAAAAAAUAUAGGACUUAAUUCACCAAUUUUAGUGGGAAAAUUAACCCAAAUAUUUACCAAAGCUUUCUACUAUUUUCACUCUCAAUCAACAGCUCAUAAACUCAUCACAUAUGAUAUAGACAUAUGUUGUCAUUUGCAAAAGAAUGUGAGAAACAAUAGGUAUAUCUUUUGAGCAAUUUUAAUACCAUGAACUUAUGGGAAUUAGAUUUCCCACCCCUCAUUUAGAAUUGCCAUCCCAUUUAAAAGUUGGGAAAAGCCAAAAUUGUCCCUCCGUGUUUUACUCCGGAGGUUGAACAUUCAGACUCAUCCAAAACUUCAACUUUCGGACUCUGUUAAUAUUAGAACAGAAUUCAGAUUCACUUUUAGAACAUAACAAAACAUCAACACUCAGAGCUCUCAAGAUGUGCGACCCAGAAGCGACCCAGAAGCGACAUUGAGGUACCCAAAAGCGACCAAGAAUCGCGACCAAAAGGGUAUUGUAACCAUGUCUGUUUGUCCCAUAUUAUUGUCACUGCAUUUUCAUGUUUCUGUUUUUGUGACAGUAUCUGGUUUGAGAGAUCCGAAUCUUGAAGUUUCAUAUUAAUCCAGUACAACAACUCUCGGACGUCUUAAAAAGAGGUGGCAAAUUUUAUUAUCAACCAGUCCGAACCUUGAAGUCCUGGAGAGAUCCGAAACUUAUAGUCUUGGAUCACUAUCACUCUUACCAGAUGCAGUAUUGUUAUUUUGCUUUACUUUUCAAAUGCUUAACUUGGAUUAUGUAUUGUAAUUUUGUUUAAAUUGAAUUAUGUAACUUUUCAAUUUUAAAGUCAUGUUAUUUUUGCUGCAAUUGGACUAAAGUCAUGUUAUUUUAACUGUAAUUAAAGCUUCCGAACUUAUAACUCUCGGACUAGUCCAAAACAUCAACAACUGGACUAAUAUAGAGGUUUAAGUCCCCGAGGGUAAUCCCGACAUUUUUUUAAAAAGGCUAGGGUGACAAUUCUAAAUGAUGGGGUGGGGAAUCUAAUUCCCUGAAUUUAUCCAUCUUCCAUGGACUUCCGUAGCAUUGAUAUAAGGACUUUCCCACACAAAAUAAAUAAAGAGGGAUAGAGGUGAUCCCUUGACCUAAACCUCUUUAUUUUUUUUAAAUAAAGAAUGCGGGCUAAAAGGCUAGAGGAAAUGAAAACAAAAAGGCUACAAGCCUUUACAGUAAAUGUUAGAGGCCCUUUCUAGCAAUAACUGAAUAAAAAAAAACUGGAAGCACAUAAAAAUAUGAAAUGAUAAGUUCAAAUCUAAACGUAACUUUGCAAGUGCGAAAACAUGCCCUCAAACAUCUUGGCUAAAGCUCGCAAUAAGAAUACAGAUGAGUCACCAACGAAAGCACAAUAAUAAAAUUCUUCCAACGCAGAGCUCAAAACAUGAAUACUACUCGUUGAAUCCGUCUCAAUGAUCACCUUUUAGAUCCCUAUAUGACGGAACAUGCAAAUGUCCAACAAAAUACUCACAGUUCAGCAUAAAAGAGCAGAACAAAUGCCGAAAUGCUUUGAGAACGCGCGAAAAAAAACCGCGAAGAGAAAAAACACAAAACGCGCGGAAAAAAAUACGCCAAAAGAAAAAACACACAAAAAAUCCUCUUUUAGUAACAUGUCUCCUAACAUCUUGAAUAAAGCCCGCAAUAAGAAUACAUAUGAGAGCCGCCAACAAAGCACAAUGAUGAAAUCUUUCCAAGGCGGAGCUCGAAAGAUGGAUACUACUCGCUGAAUCGGUCUUAAUGUUUACCUUUUGAAACCAUCUAUAACACGAAACACCCCACAAUUCAACAUAAAGAACAGAACAAAUGCCCAAACACCCGCGAAAACGCGCGAAAAUAAAAACUACCAAAAAAAUUAAAAGUGGUAAACUGGUAAUGGUAUAUAAAAUUUCGUAAUGAAUAUACCUAGUCGAGUUUAAAACCAUAAUAACAAGAUGCACAAGUCAUCUUAAAAUUCUCACGGCAAGUUAAACACAAAUUCUAUUAUUCAAAAAAAUCAAAUUGAAUCAAUCAAUCACCUAACAAUAUUAAAUAUAUAUAUUUUUUGAACAGCCCAACAAUAUUAUCUUACUCUAAAAUAAAAAAAAAUUUCUUUUCCCACAAGUAUCAUUUAAUUAAUUCAGAACGUGCAAUGGUAGCCGUUGAUCUCGUGUGGGACCCGAACUCAUGACGGCACAGUUGAAUCGGAGCGUCGAAACUUGUGGACCCCACAGCUAGCUUGUUGAUUUUUAAGGGACUAAAACCAACAUUAUAUAUAUUUGUAGGGACCAGAAACAUAUUUAAGCCUUUUGAUUUCGAAUAUAUAUAUUUAUAUUCUCUUGUUGAUUCUCCUAUUUCGAUCAUCAUCGUCUUCUUCUUCUUCUUCUUCAUCUCUCUCUGUUCGGCUUCUGCUUCACCGAUGGAGAAUGACAACACCGCCGCCGCCGACAACAACACCGCCACCGCCGCCGUCACCGUCACGGCCAAAACCGGUUCAGGAGAAGUUGUGAAAUCCACCAACCACAACCAUGAAGAAGAGCAUUCCAAUUCCAAUGGCGAGGAGCACAUGACAGAGAAACUGGAAGAAGAAGAAAAUCGAGAGGAAGGUGAAGAAGAAGAAGAAGGAGAAGGAGGAGAGCAGCCAACUGGAUCUGCACCCAACCCUCGCCAGCCUUCCAGAACCCCUUUCUCCAAUCUCAGCCAGGUCGACGCUGACCUCGCCCUCGCUCGAACCCUUCAGGAGCAGGUUCUUCUUCUUCUCCUUCCAUUAUUACUAGUUUCUCAUUGUUAUUGAAUGCCCUAUUUUGUUUGUUAUUUACUUUUCGAGUUUGGUUGGUGUGUGAGGAUACGAAAUUGAAGUGAAUUUGUAGGUUUUAGAGCAAUUCAAAUUGAUCAGGCACAGAUUCUUAUGAGUUAUGCUUCUAGCUGUUCUAGCUGGGAGUGAAGCACUGUUAGUCUCUGAUAGUUUAACGGUGUGGUUUUGAUUGUUUAAUAGGAAAGGGCAUACAUGAUGCUGAGAAUGAAUAAUGAUGGAAGUGACUAUGGAAGUUGGGAGGGUGGAAGCUAUUUGCAUGAUGAAGGGGAUGAUUUUGAUGAUCUGCAUGAUGGGAGUGAUGUGGAUGAGGAUGAGGAUGGCGAUGAAGAUGAUGGCGAUGAGGAGGGAUAUGAGACUGAAGAUGCAUUUGAUGUCCAUGCUCAUGCUGGCGCUGGAGAACAUCCAAUCAUUGAAUUUGACCCAGAUGUGUUUUCAAGUGAUGAAGCCUAUGCAAGAGCAUUACAAGAGGCUGAAGAGAGGGAAAUGGCUGCUAGGCUGUUAGCUCUUGCUGGGAUACAUGAUGGUAAGUUCUAUUGGAAUAUAAUUUUGGGUGUUUUUUGUUUUUGUUUUUUUAAGGACUAACAGUUUCAUUUUUAAUUACAGUGGAGCCUGAGGACAUGGAGGAGCAUGGUGGUAAUUCACAGGUAAAAUAUAUAUUUUAUAUGUUUGUGCCAGUGUUAUCAAAUAGCGGCGCGGAUUUUUGGCUAAUCGCUAUUCGCCGCUAAAUAGCGGCCGAAAUAGCGGAUUUUUGGCUCUCCUUGAUCGCAAUUUGACAACACUGGUUUGUGAUGCAUUCAUACCUACUCAGUUUAAUAUUUUCUCAGUGCAAAUCACACACACCCAUAGUCGUUGUAUUAUCGCAAUUUGACAACACUGGUUUGUGAUGCAUUCAUACCUACUCAGUUUAAUAUUUUCUCAGUGCAAAUCACACACACCCAUAGUCGUUGUAUUAAACAUUUGAAAAGUGUGAAACUUCAGCACCAUAGAAAAUGGUACAUGUGUGCCCAUAUUCGGUUUAAUUAUAGGCAUAGGAUGAUUCUAUUUGAAAAAUAUUAUGACUUAUUAGCAUUUUCUUUGAAACUUUAUUAGUAUUACUUAGUUCAGCUGUUUUCAUUUACAUAUACCAUGCUUGUUAGUUGUUACAAAUAAGACAAAGUUCAUGUAAUAUUUGAUUGGUUGGUUUAUGCAUUGUGAUUGAGGAUGUUUUAUUUGAUAUUUUAGGUAGCAUUGCAUGAAAAUUCUAUUAGCUUAUUCUAAAUGGUUCUAGCUUAUUUUGUUUUUGGAAAAUGCUUAAUGGCUCGAAUUGUUCUAUAUAUGAAUCUGAUGAAUGAUGUGGCUUUUUUCACGUGCACACGUUCCUUCUCUCUCUUACGAUUCUCGCUUCUACUUCCAUUCUCUAUCGUUCUCUUUCCCAAUUUCAAUCCCAAUUGCUCUGAUCUCCAUUCAAACAUUAGGCUUCUGGAAUCAUGAUUAACAUAGAUCUGACUCUUGAUGUGUUCACAUGUGCCCGCGAGAGGAAGAGAAUCACACUUUGCCCCUUUCUUCUUCCCCAACACCACUUUCUCCCAAUUAGAAGAAACAGCGCCGCACCCCCAUCGUUGUCGACCAUUCCUCUACUCUAGUCACCGCCGUGAGCCUUUACAGUAGCCGCCGUUGCUUGGGCAUCGAAGGUAGUAGUGCGUGGCCGGUGGGAGUGGUGGCUCGAGGUCAAGUGAGGCGCUUGAGUUUCUGUCUCCACGCAGCCAGAGAAUUAAUUUCUUAUUUUUCCAUUUUAAAAAAAUAAAUAAUAAGCAGAUUUCCUUUUUAAGUGAAGAUAAACGUCAUUCUUAAGGUUCGUAUGGGGUCUUUGUCGAGCCAAAUAGCAAUGCUCUUUGUUUUUUCUUGCUUCCCCUUCUUGAGGCAAAAUAAUUAUGCUUUGCUCAGUAUAGAACUCUAGGGUUGCACAAAACUAUUUUUCUCGAAAUAAAUUAAUUACGCACAAAUCUCUCUUCAGCAUAUUCCUAUCUGCAUACCUGUCAGGAACCAAGAAUAGUACCUACUACUUGUAAAUCUCUUAAUUUCAGUUGGACCUUCUGCCUGAAUAUUGUCCAUAUUAUUAACAGAAUCUGGUUCAUUGGUUUUGUGUGAUUAGUUAUUUCCAAUUUUUAUCCAUGACAACACAGGCUCAUUUGUCCUGAAUGUAGACACAAAAUUGUCGCUGAAGCUAGUCCACAGCCACUAGAUUAGAAUCAUUAGAUCUGAGUAGAACCCUCUGAUGGGAUUCUUUUCUUCCGCAUAUUUCAAAUACCAGAUGCAUUUUUGCAGCUGCUGUGUCUAAAACAUCACCAAGGUUCUUCAUUGACCUUCUGAAAUCCCAUGAUAUCCUCUUUAUAGAUCACCUUUCUUCUACAUAUUUCAAAUACCAGAUGCAUUUUUGCAGCUACUGUGUUUAAAACAUCACCAAGAUUCUUCACCAACCUUCUUAAAGCCCAUGGUAUCCUUUUUUUAGAUCACCUCCCCAUUGUUGUUGUUGUUCUUCUUCUUCAUUGCUAUUCCUGAUAUAUCAUCUUCAUUUUGUUUAUUAUGUGUUAUUAUAAUGAUAGGAUCAACAGGCUAGAUUGAUGUUGAUUAAUCUUUUGGACAGUAGAAUGUAAUCAUGCAUCUCAUUUACUACUGUCAAUUCAAUUCUCUAAAUGCUUCUUGUUGAUCAUCUGAUUCAGGAUGCUUGGGAGGAUGUUGAUCCAGACGAACUUUCCUACGAGGUAACUUUGAUCUAUACCAAAGCUUGUGUAAUGCUGCUCAUUCUGCAUGUGCCCUUCUGUCUCGUGUUUUGAUAGUAAGCUUCAAUUAUUUCAGGAACUACUAGCAUUGGGUGAAGUAGUUGGAACUGAAAGCAGAGGUCUUACAACAGAUACUAUUGCCUCUUUGCCUUCAAUCAAGUACAAGACUGGGAAUGAUCAACAUGGAAGCAAUGAUUCGUAUGUGAAAUAGUGUUACUUGUAACCUUAGCUGUGAUCAUGAUAUACCGUGGUGCCUGAUUUUGGUGGCCUUUUUCAGGUGUGUUAUUUGUCGGGUGGACUAUGAGGAUGACGAGUCCUUGACAGUUCUUUCCUGCAAACAUCUGUACCAUCCUGAGUGCAUUAACAAUUGGUUGAAAAUAAACAAGGUAUGGUUAUCUUCUUCCCCCACCUUAUGUAAUUUUUUUCAUCAUUUACAUUUGGCUGCAUAUAUGCUGUUGGUUCACAUAUUUGUGUGUAGUUAUUAGUUUCUGUUAGGAUAGAAGGUGUGGGCUAAAGUAGUUAGGGUUGUUAGUCAGUUAGUUAGAGGAGACUUAAUUAGACAAAUAGACAGGUCUGAAUGCACAAAGAAUAAUUGAAGAUGAUUCUAGGAAAUUGUGGAAAAAGAGAAAUCCUUUGUUGAAGGGAAAAACUUUGGUUGUUGUUCUCACAACAGGACAGGUCUGUAUGCGCAAACAACUAUAGGGAUGAUUACUCAACUGCUGCCACUAAAGUUGGCCAUUGUACCUUUUCAGCACUAACAUGGAAAAUUAUUGGAAUCCAUGUUUUACACACUUUUGAGCAUUGAGAAUUUUUGUAAUGCAUUGAAUCGAAAGGAAUUACUUAUUCGGCAUAUGUUGAGGAAGUGUUUCCAGAUUGCGACCUUGGGGACAAGGUUGCUUUUGUAGGGGCUUGUAUUGUUAGGAAUUCGGAUAGAAGGAAGGACCGGAGUAAAGUAUUUAAAAUUAGUUAGGUAGUUAGUUAGAGGUGACUCAAUUAGAUAAAAAUGGAAAAUUAAUAGAGGGGGUUCAUUUUGUGAGUUUAAAUGCGUAAAAGGAGAAAUCCUUUGUUAAAGUGAAACCCUUGGAGAGACCUCUCUAGUCUCUCCUCUGUCAUUCAAUAAAAUUGUUCUAAUCUUUUUUGUUUUAAUUUUUUAAUCAACUUCUCUAUUCUUCUCUUCCAGUUUGUAAAAGUUUACUUUGCAAAUUUUAGUUUGUGGUUCACUAGGUCCUUUAUAUAUGCACUUCUGUGCAUCUGGUUGAACAAUGCUUACAGAUAUUCUUUUGUGGCUGUUAGUCUCUUCCUGCCUGUACUAUGCUUAACAUGUCUUGAUUUGAACUGGAUUGCAUAGUACAUACAUAUUAGAUAACACUUCAAGUUCAUAGUUUCUGGUUGCGAGUUAUUGUUUUCCAGUUCCAGAGCACCUUUCAUUUAGUCUACUUUGCUGAAAAGUGUUGAAAAGCGUCCUUAGCACUCCUCUAGUAGAUGAUGGCAUUAUCCAAUAAAUAUUAUCUAUGGACUCAGCAAUUAAUUGCUAGACUAUCAUGUUUGAUUAACACUUUGGAGGAAGCUUUGGCCUCUAGAAAAAAUAAUUAGUCAAGAGCUGAAACUUGAAAAGGAUGUAAGUAUAAUAAAUUGAAAAAAAUAUAAUGAAAACGUAUAAAUCACAGCGUAAGUUUACUCUGUUUCCACCUACAGAAAGAACAAAAUCAGGUGUGAGACCAACACAGGAAGCAAGGAUGAUUGUUCAACCUCAUUGUUCAGGACAUAUCUUUUAUACUCAGCCCUUAUUUAUUGGAUUUCUCCUUUUGCUUAAAUUUCAAGAUAAAUCCAGUUCUCUACUUGUAUCAACAGUUCAUAAAUUACCCUGUAUUUUGAACAAAUUUGAAUUAUUUGUUUCGAGUUGUUUGCAGUGGAGAAGCAGUGAUAUAACCCUUGGUUCUUUGUCUGCAGGUUUGCCCUGUUUGCAGUACUGAGGUAUCUGCUUCUGGGAGCAACUUAUAGGAGAAUUCCAUAGUUCUUAAACUUCUUGGCUUCAAAUUGAAGAAAAUUUGUGCAAGUUGGGAGUUUUUACCCCGUUAUUUAAGUAGCAUUGCUUUGUUGGGGUGAUAGUCAUUGUGCUUUACUGUAUCAAACUCCUACAUUUUAAAUGUAACUUAAACUUUUGGAUUCAGCUCUCUAGUUUGUCUUUUUACUUUUUUUAAAAUGGAAUGACUGGCAUUAUAGGGGCCAGUUUUUUUUACAGUUAUUGACUUAUUGUGUCUGGUAUACUUUCUUUCCUCAGCUUAGUUUAGUAAGUUUUGCUUCAUUAAACUUUAUUUUAUUUCCAAAGAGUUACGGAUCCAUGUUUUUUCUUCUUCUGUAUAUGGAAUGCACUUCUAAGGACUUGUGCAUUGAGUUUAGAGCAGCUCUUCGUAGGUGAUAUCCGAAACUGCUGAUGUUAGGAUUAAGGAAGUAGACUAACAUCUCGGAACCAAGCUCAACGCGACCAACAAGAUAAGAUCGAGCGGUCUCUGCUCCUCUCAAAGGUAGUGUUUGGCCUGACUUUUUUUUUUUUUACUUUUAAGUUAUUUUUAAGCUAAAGUUGGGCCAAACACAAUUUUUUAAAAGUUCUAAAAUUUUAAGUGACUUAUUUUUUAUAACAGGAAAUUGAAAUUAGUAACUUUUAAGAAAAAGUCAGGGAGAGGAGCUUUUUGCUUAAAAGUAACUUAUUUUUUUCUUCCCUCGCGUGGAUCUCUCGUUUCCCUAUUCAUCGCUUCAAUUUUUAGCCAAACUGUCAUGCUAUCGCUACGCAGAAGAUUGAAUCACAGUGUCCGUUGGAAUUCCUACUAUAGUUUUGUAGAACUCUUGACAAAUAGUUCCAGAACCUGUUUUAUAUUCCACCCUUCUUUCCUUUAUGUGCCUACAGGUGCAACACCAACGACAGUUCCUGUGCAGAAAACUUCAUCAACCUCAACCAAUUCAUCCACGCUUACAGCAUGCUCUUCUAAUUGAUAGCCAAGAUUACCAUCAAUUUCAAUUACACAUUUUCUGUCCAAACCCAAAACUGGACAGUUCCUAAAAGGAGAGGCCUCAAAUACAAAGAUCCUUUCCCCAGUGAAGUGGAGGAAUCCAACGCUUUAAUUUUGAUGAUUUUGCCAAAUAAAUUAUCAUGUUAAUGAAGAUGCCUGCUUCAUCUAUGGAAAAUGUUUCUGGUUCUGUGUAUAGAUGAAUGAUAUACAAAUAAGGUUGCAUACCAACCAUUUGAUAAAAUGUUUAGAUAAGUAUACGUGAAAAGACAUAAUUAUGAUCAAACAACCUUUAGCUUAAAAGUUACAUUUAAGAUGUACAAAAAUGAAAAACACCAAACACCUUUAGCCUUAUUUUUAAAGCUCUUAUUUUUAACUUUAACUUAUAAGUAACUUUUAAACUCUAAAAAAGCUGAGUCAAACGCUACCUAACUAAGAGGAGAAGCGGAACUGUCUAUGGACUGCCUUGCUUGAUAAUCCUAUCAGUCAUGGUAACCAAAUUCGGCUAAGGAGUGAGGUUUUCAUGUAUCUAGAUAUCAUAUCACGUGAGUGCAACAUAAACGGGCUUUCAUCCAAUUCAUAAGAGUUCAGUUAACUUUUUGGUUUCAAGUGCAAGUUAAUGUCAAUUUGCGGUGAUAUCAAUAGAUAUCUAAACAUAGUUGUAUCUUCGGCGACGAUAACCACUGGAGCAAUAUCUACAUAAUUCUAGUGGCUGUUUAUAAUCCCCCAUUAUCUAGAGUUUGAUCCUUGUUGUCAUCUCUUUUUAAAGGGCAGCUGUGACAUUAGAGUAUAUAUGGUUAAGUGGUUUAAAGUUCAAUCCUGGUUGCCUCUCAUUAUUUUAAUAAAAAGUUGAUUUUUUUUUUUGAAAGGAAAAAGUUGAAUUUUAACAUAAGUUAAAUGAGCUUGUGCAUUGCCCAUACUUCAAGCUCAAUGAAUUCUUGUGUGAGAGGGCAUGCUAAAUCAAUAAAAUAUAACCACUCAUUUCUAACUUAAAGCUUAAAUUUUGGGAUGGUUUAAGUAUUGCAUUAUUUUUCACUAUGUAGUGAAUCAACCAAGGAAAUGGAGCCUUCCAUCUCCUAAAUCAAGCAAAAGAUAAAAGUAAAAUAAUUUGGGGAUUUUUCUUCGAAUAAUAUAAAAAAUAAAACUAUUUACCAAAAAAAUAGUUUAAAAACAAAUUAUCAAUAAGUUUUGAUAGGGGAGUAGAGAGAAAUUGAUAUUUGCGACGGAAACCAAAUCCGUCACAAAAUCCUUGUUAGCGAUUUUGGGACGGAAAGAAAAUACGUAUCAAAAUCCUUGUCAGCGUGUUUGCGAGUUAAAUCUGCAACGAACCUUUGCGACGGAAAGUAUAUCUGACACAAAUCCUUAUCAGCGCAUUUGCGACGGAAUAUAUGUCUGUCACAAAACCUUUGUUAGCCGCAAAUUAGCGACGGAAAGUUAGAGAGGGGUUUAUUCCGUCCCAAAUUCCAUUUGAACGAAAUAGUUGUUAACAAAUAUGUGACGGAAUUGCCCUCUCUAAGAUUCGGUCACAAACAGCCCCAUGUUGGUAAAUUGUUUUUAAACUGUAUUUGUUUUGGUAAAUUAUUUUAUUUUUUACAUUAUUUAAAAAAUUAUUAUAAUUUCAAUUGGGAGCUAAUAUGUAGUGUACAACAAAAUACAAAGCCUAAACUUGCAAGUGUACAAAACUUGUAGUGUCGGACCGACUAAUUGGGGAUCAAAAUAUUCAUAAUUAUCUUUUCAUCAUCAUCAUCAAAUCUAGCAGCGCGAUUAACUUUAAUUAAAUUGUUAUUUUCAUUGAAAUGCCCCACAAGCUCAUUAGCUUCUUUUCUUUCUCUACAUCUUGCUUUGUCUAAAGAUAGGGUGUUUUUGGCUUCGUGAUCACCGGUGGACUCUAUUUCCUUGAUACCACGCCCAAGCAUUUCCUCAUACUUCUCCAGCACCUUCUCAAGAUCAUUUAUCUUAGCAUAGCCUUUAAUUAAGGUUCCAUAAGUAACCACAUUAAGCUCUAAAACCAUCUUGUAUCAAUCUUUUGAAAAACUUCUCAGCACCCUCCAUGUCAGGUGCAUUGACAUAAGCUGAUAACUUGGUAGUUUAUGAGCAAAGAUCUGGCAUGUAUCUGCAGUCACGGAAAAAAGUACAAUGAUUCAAUGUUGUGCACUAAUAAACAAUACCAGAAUGCUUCCAACAUUAAAAUAUAGAAACUACUGUAGAAAGGAAACAUAAUUUACCUAUCCCUUUUCAUGCAUUAAAAUAUUUGUAUAUAUAGGCACUGAAGAUAUUAGUGUGGUUGGUAAAGAUAGGGAGGAACUCAGUAAGAUUUGUGGGAGAAGCAAAAUAGACGAGAUCACAAAUACCGAUUGCUCGGGCUAAAUAUGAAUUGAGACAAAAUCUCGAGUUAGAUUCAGGUAUGAUACACUUUUUAGUUAUUAGGAGAACCCGGCACUCUCUUUCAGAUCCAGGAAACUGAAGAAAUUUUGCAUUCCAAAACAGUUGAAAACAGAGUAUGUACUUAUGAAUUACUGGCAAUCUUAUAUAACGAGACCAUCUAGUUCACAGAAAUCCUCCAGAGAUCCAAACCUGUUGCUAUUAAUGUAGAGUAAAACUAGAUGGUCUAGUUUUAUAUAAGUCAGAUUAAAACCAGUUAUUUCUUCUUUUGGAAAUAAUAAAAUAAAAUGAUGUUAAAGGUAUGUCCAACUUUCAGGGAAAAAAGAAUGUGGAAGCAGGCAAAUAAUUAGAAUCAUUUAAGAAUUAAAACCAAAUAAUUAUACAACAUCUGAAGUCAAACAUAAAACAAAGAAUGGUGUAUAGAGUUGUAUAUAUACCUCAAUGACAAGGUUCCACCUUUUGAGUUGUUCAAAUCUAACCAAGGUACCAAUCACAAGGUCUUUAGGAAUAGUUUGGUUUUUUAUCUUCUCAUCAUAAAGAACGGAAACAGCAGAAAAGGUCUGGUCGAUUUGGUCCAUGGCAUCCUUGAAAACAUGGCCUUUCUGCAGACAUAUUAGUUGCAAAUAUGAUUUCCUCAUUUUCCUAUGAUUACUUUUUCCAACUACCAACUUCACAAGUAAUAUAUAUCUUGAUAAAUUCCAGAGUCACAUUCUCUUAGGCAUAUUAUCACAGGAGUGAAGUAACUAAUGUGUUUUUCUUUUAUGUGCAUGUUUGUGUCCUCGUCCUAUCAAUCUGAUGUGUAACAUUUAUUUCCUUCGGCAAUUGACAAAAAUGAUUGACUCCAUUUGACUAACCUCUCACUUCAAACAGUUCAAGUAGGCACUCUAGGAAUUUUCCUCUCUUCCAUUAGAACUUGGAUAUCUGAGGAUGUUCUUUGAUCCCUAGAAAACUUGAGUAUUGCAUCUAUUGCAAUAGAGUAAUUUUUAUCAUACGAUUCUGGAAAAAAUCCCAAAUCAACCAUCUCCUUGAAAAUCUCAAAUGCAGAGGUCAAAUUUAGAUCAGACAGAAAAGCAUUUAGCAAUGCAAUAUAAAUGAAAGAGUCCGGUUUCAUUUCUUUCUGUUCCAUUUCACGUAGGUAACAGAGGGCUUCAGUUGGCCUGUAGCAUUUGCAAAGACCAUAAAUAAGUGCCAUGAAAGCAAUUCGAUUUGGAUGGCAACCCCUUUUUCCCAUCUCAUCCCAGACCAAGAGAGCAUCAUCAGGUUUUUCCGCUCUGCAUAACCCGUCCACCAGAGUUGUGUAUGUGAUGACAUUGGGCUCCCUGUCUUCUCCAGACAUUCUGGAAAGAAGUGCCAUAGUCUUCUCAAUAUUACCGUUUUUGCACAAGGCAUCUAUAAGCAAAUUGUAGGUAACAACUGAGGGAGAAAGACCCCUUCCAACCAUCUCAUCCAGUAAGUUUUCAGCCUCUGUGAAUCUGUCGGCUUUGCAGAGCCCUCCUAUCAAUACGUUAAAAGCAACCACAUCAGGACAGCGACCAAGAGAACACAAAUUCUUGAACACGUCCAAUGCUUGAUCCAUUUUCUGAAUCUUGAUCAAGCCACUGAUUGCUGCAGAAUAGGAAACUAUAUCAGGAAGGAAACCCUGUUGAACCAUGGUGUCAAGAAAGUUACAUGCUUCUACAGCCCUCCCAUGAUCACAUAGCUCUUUCACAAGAAGGGUGGAAUGUUUUAUCCACGGCUCAUGCCCGCAAACACGGAUUUCCUUUAACAUAUCACUGGCUCCUACAACAUCCUUUCUUUUACACAGGCAUCCAUAUAUUGAGUUGUAAGUGAAAUGAGUUGGUUCAAUUCCUGAUUCUUUCAUCUCUCUCAAGAGCUCACGACUCUCCUCCAAUCUAUUGGAAUUGCAGAGCCCAUUGAUCAGAUUGUUGUAAAUCAAAACAUUUGGUUUACCAACAGAUUGUUGCAUAUCAUUGAAGAGGCUCAGGGCAAGGUCCAACUGUCCAUUUUUUAGUAAGCCAUCAAUUACAAUGCUAAAGGAAGUGGUAUUGGGAAAAACCAAUCUCUUGACCCUGAGGAAAGUAUCCAUCUGAGCAUCAGAACUAGAUUUGCAUUUAAUCAUCCUCUGAAGUAGGUGACAAGCUUCAUCCAUUAACCCAUCACUCACAUAACCAGUCAAAACAGCAUUGUAAAUCAAAACAAGAGUUUUAUCAUCUUCUUCCUCCGGAACUUCUUCCAGUAAUUGUGCAAGCACGCUUCUAUCCGAGACAGAUGAUAUCAAUUUUGUAAAUAUUCCAACAUCCGGCUCAACGCCAAAUUCCUUCAUUUCCCGAAGCAAGCUCAAAGCUUUGUCCGUGUCCUUGUUCCUGCACAAUCCUUCAAUCAGAACAUCAUACAAGGAAACGUCAGGAGUGAAACCAGCCCCGCGCAUUUUAUCAAGCAAUUGGAGGGCCUUAUCCAGACGGGACUCCUUGACAAACCCAUGAAUCAAAACACAAAAAGUCUUCUCACUCAGUCUCAUUCCACGUUCACCCAUUCUGUCCACCAACUCAAACGCCUUAUCCACCUCGCCCCACUUGGUAAAAGACAACGCCAUCAUCGAGCAAACACGUUCAUCGACCCAACCCUUCUCCUGCAUUGUCUUGUACACCCCGAAAGCCUGUUCAAACCUGCGAGCAUUGCAAUAAGCUUGCAUCACCGGUGUCAGCGUGUACUUAUCAAACCCCCACCCAACCUCCCUCAUUUCAUUCAACCUCAUCUCCAUCAAAUCAAUAGAACCAGACUUUGAUAUAACCUCUAACAAGCAGUUGUAGCAGUAGUCAUUGGGAACACAGAGACCCUUCACGCGCAUUUCAUCGAACACCUCGUUGGCUUCCCGAACUAACCCGAGGGAACCGAGGCAGCGGAUGAAGAAACCAAGAGCGCCAGGGGUGAAGGAGCAAGAGGGGUUGGAGAGGACGUGUUUGGCGAGGGAUCUGAGAGGAGCGGGUUUGCGGGAACGGGAGAAGAUGGUGGCGAUGGCAUUGAUGGUGUAGCAGGAGUGGCGAUAGCCAUGUUGGUGUUGGGCGGAAGCCCAGUUGAAGAAGGAAUGAGCGAGCUUCCAGCUGCGGAGGCGUUUGAGGACGGACUCAACGAGGGGAGGGGUGAGUGUGGGGGCGAUUUGGUUGAGUUCCGGCGCGGUGGGUCCUUUGGUGGUGAAGAUGGAGAUGAGGGUAUCUGCCAAUGAAGAAGAAGAAGAAGAAGAAGAAGCCAUUGAUGGAAGCAACUCUACUACCAUACGACCAUGCUUCCUUCCUCUGCUUUUACGGAUUUGAAACUAAAUACUUUACGAAGAUGAAAGUUGAUCUAUUCCGACGAUGAGAAGACUCAAUACUCCAUUAGUCCUUCUUUUCUUAAGUGUCAUCAUUCCAACUAAAAACACUUUUCUUGCCAUAGAUAAACACCUAUAAACCCUCUUAAAUCUUAAUCAUCAACCUUUAUUAAUGUGAACCACGACUGGACGUCCGUAGCAAUUUUCAUUUCUUCUUCUUAUUGAAAACAAAAUAUUUAUUUCAAUGAGUAUGACCUUGAGAAUAACCAUACUAAUUUUUUUUAGAUAAUGUAAUGAUAUUUGAUUCUCUAAAGAUAUAAAACAUCCCUUGACAAUUUAUCUCUUCAUUUAAGAAAUCACCCAAAUUUAACUUAUUAUGAAGUUUACAAGUGUAAAUUCAUCUAUUAUUUAUUAAUUCUAUCGCGAGGGUAGAGUCACUUUCAAUGGAAAGAUUUUUAAGAUGAAACUCUUUAUAGUAAAAAAGUGCAUUUGAGAGAGAUGUGAUUAAAUGAAGGUUUUUAAGUGAUAGUAAUAUUUUAUCUUAACAACUUGGAAGUUAACGCUUAACAAUCACAUGUGCACAUUUAUAAGGUCCCCCCCCUACUUUAUACUUGUGUUUUAAUUUUUUACACAUAAAAAUCACUUUUUAUCAUUUGUAAUUCAUUCUCAUAUUAUCAUCUAAUGUCAUAAAGUGUCUUCGGUCAUGUUUAUCAUCUCACAUUUUAAUUUUUAAGUAAAUUAAUUAAUGAGACAGUUAUAGUUAUAAUUACAACUUGAUGGUAACAACUAAACAUGAUAAUAUUUUGUGAGAAACUGUGUUAGAAAAUCUGGAAAUCCAGUUGUAAGAAUAUCCAAAUAUAUAUAUAUAUAUAUAUAUAACAAAACUACCUUAACUAUGAUUAACAAAACUUUUCCUAAAAAUAACUGAUGAUGUUGAUAAUUUUAGAUUGAUUUUCCCCCCACUAUCCAUUACCACAAAAAUAUAUCUAAUCUCUUAUCCAGCACAGCAUAAACAGUAAAUAUUAUCCAUGAAUUGUAGUUUUUCUCAAAAUUAGUAUAUUUGACUGAGACAACAUAAAUAAGAAAAGAAAAUAGUAUUUGCCUUCCUAUUUUGUAGCCAAUUCUAAACCAUAUCUUCAAUCCUAUCAUACAAGUCUAAGUAACCUAAAUAUGGCAUGAAAGACAGGCUUAGCAGAUAAGUAGCCCUAUUUUUAGUUACUACCCUACCACUAUAUAAACCUGAAUUCCUCCAAGAGAAAAGCAACGAGAGAAGCAAAUAAUAGGGAAGAGGAAGGAACAGGGAGCAUUUAUCACAUGGCUGUUUGUUUGUAAACAAAUCCAUUAACCCAAAGAUUCAUCUCAAACAUUUGUUCUUCACCCCCGGAAUCACUACAAGAAAACUCGCUAUUACCAACAUUUACAAUAAUCAUAAAAGAUGGCGGGCGGAGCUUAUGUUGAUUCAGGAAAGGCAAAGGAAUUUGAUGGCAAGGUCACCGCAUUCGUGCUUGUGACAUGCUUCGUGGCGGCCAUGGGAGGACUCCUCUUCGGAUACGAUCUUGGUAUCACAGGAGGAGUGACUUCCAUGGAGCCAUUCUUAGUCAAAUUCUUCCCGGGUGUUUACAAACAAAUGAAAGAUGAAUCCGGCCAUGAAAGUGAAUAUUGCAAAUUUGACAAUGAGCUCCUCACUUUGUUCACCUCUUCCUUGUACCUUGCUGCAUUGAUAGCUUCUUUCUUUGCAUCCACAACCACAAGGAUGCUUGGACGCAAGACCUCCAUGUUUGCUGGUGGCUUGUUUUUCCUUGUUGGUGCAUUGUUGAAUGGUUUUGCCGUCAACAUUGAGAUGCUUAUCAUUGGUCG